AUUGAACGCUGGCGGAAUGCUUUACACAUGCAAGUCGAACGGUAGAGGGGCAACCCUUGAGAGUGGCGAACGGGUGAGUAAUGUAUCGGAACAUGCCCAAUCGUGGGGGAUAACGUAGCGAAAGUUACGCUAAUAACGCAUACGAUCCAUGGAUGAAAGCGGGGGAUCGCAAGACAUCGCGCGAUUGGAGUGGCCGAUAUCAGAUUAGGGAGUUGGUGGGGUAAAGGCCUACCAAGCCGACGAUCUGUAGCUGGUCUGAGAGGACGACCAGCCACACUGGGACUGAGACACGGCCCAGACUCCUACGGGAGGCAGCAGUGGGGAAUUUUGGACAAUGGGCGCAAGCCUGAUCCAGCCAUUCCGCGUGCAGGAAGAAGGCCUUCGGGUUGUAAACUGCUUUUGUACGGAACGAAACGGUGCUCUCUAAUACAGGGCGCUAAUGACGGUACCGUAAGAAUAAGCACCGGCUAACUACGUGCCAGCCGCCGCGGUAAAAC
rnacentral:rRNA from 1 species